rnacentral:sRNA from 1 species
GAGCCCCGCGUCCCGGCGCCGCUCGGCCCAGGGCAGGGACCCCGCCACGGCCGGGACCGCCCGGCCCGGCCCCAGCCCGCGCCUCCUCGCGCCCCGCACCGCGCCCUCUCCGCGUCCCCGCCCGCGCGGCCGGACCGGGCAGCCAGAAAAAUCAUUUUUCUUCUCUGGGAAGGUGAACAUUUGUAGCACUGAUUUCCCGGAUCUGGUAACAUGGCAAAAGAUACUUUUAAAGCGUCUGAAGCGGAAUGAAGGUGAAAGAUGGAAGGAUCUGAUCUCUGAAGCUGCGGUCACCACCCGCAAGUUGUGGCCUUGGAUACCACACUGUGCAGUUGGGUGGUGAUGGGGUGGUGCCUUCUGACUUUUUCCUUAUCUUUACCGACUGUGUUAAUUGAUAAUUUUGAAUAAACGCCUUAAUUAAAUUGAGGUGGAGGGUGUUGCA